GUUUCUCGGAUCCAAAGGAUUUGAGUGUGGUGGUAGUAACAGAGAGUAGUACCUCUGCAUCUACAUCUGCAUCAUUCACUCUCCCUGCUUUGCUUUCCGUUUUGCUCUGCUUUUCUCUGUUCUGCACACUUUUUUCUCUCUGUUUUACUAUUGCUAUUUACUCUUUACUUCUUCUAAAAAAUUACUCUUUUUUCUUUUCUCUUUUUCUUUUUGGGAGAAGAAGUUGUUGUAUUUUUUUUUUCCCUCACUAAAAAGAGUCAGAUAAACAUGAUACCAAUCAUCUUGCU
rnacentral:lncRNA from 1 species